ACUAAGUUCAAGCUCCUCUUCAAAGGGGUAUAAUUGGGUAAGCGAGAGAACUACGAUUGUGGCAAGUCGAAAAUUGAAGAAAAGAUUUUGGAAAGGCCAAGAGUUAGGUGGGGUGACUAAGGAAGCGGACAAGGUACACACAGACAAGUAGAAGUUACUAUAGAAGAUGUUCCAGCGGGGUUAGCAACUCCACUUGUUCCUGG